rnacentral:rRNA from 1 species
UACGGAGGUCCCAAGCGUUGUCCGGAUUCACUGGGCGUAAAGGGUGCGUAGGUGGCGAGGUAAGUCGGAUGUGAAAUCUUCGAGCUCAACUCGGAAACUGCAUUGGAAACUACCUUGCUUGAGGGUUGGAGGGGGGACUGGAAUACUUGGUGUAGCAGUGAAAUGCGUAGAUAUCAAGUGGAACACCAGUGGCGAAAGCGAGUCCCUGGACAACUCCUGACACUGAGGCACGAAAGCUAGGGGAGCAAACAGG